rnacentral:rRNA from 1 species
AUGAUGAUUGAUCUGAAUGAACCACCGCUUGACGUAGAGUCCAUCAACAUUUCAGUCGAGUUGGGUGCACCCUUCUUGCAUGCAGGGGGUGAACAGGGACAUCAACAACUGGAGGAGGAGGUUGGUGAGUCUCCUGACCCCAAUAUUGGAUCUAACACUACUCAUGUCCCGGACAAACGUGUUGCCACUCCCCCACCUAUGGUUGCUCCUGCUAAUGCUUUAGUUCAUGAGGCACGUGAGUUGGAAGAUGAAGAAGCUGGAUCACAGCCACAACAACCUUAUGUUGGCAUGCGCUUCGACACUUUAGAGGAUGCGAGGGAACACUACAAUCGCUAUGCUUUGAUGGAGGGCUUUUCAAUCAAGUCAAAUACGUCUUACAGGUCGGCCUACACAGGUGUGUUGGAAAAACAGCAAUUCUGCUGUAACAAGUUCCGCAAACCAGUAGAGAGGGUUGGGAUCCCGGAUGUUCCCUCGUCGAGCAAAAACACUACAUGUCCAAGCUCACCUGAACAAGAUGUUGAAGAUGAUGUCGAGGAACACACUUUCAAGAAGAAGAGGAAACGGGAAACUGUGAAGCGAACAAAAUGUCGUGCUAAGAUGGUGGUGAAGCUUAAAGAUGACAGAUGGGAGGUUAUCACUUUUAUUGCAGAUCAUAACCAUCCACUGAUUGAGAAGCCAUCGCUUUCGAAAUACCUCCGUUCUCACCAAGGAAUCCCGCCGGAACAGAAAAAACUACUGACUCACCUAAAUGACUGCAACUUCACAGCAGGUACAAAACUCACAUUGCGUUAA